GAGCCGCGGACCGAGAGAGAUCCUUUGCUGAUGGUGGAAAAGUUAACGCGACAGUAGCAGCCUUUUGUGGAGAAAUUCGGAGAUUUGAUAUUGAGAGAUUGAAGGCUGUGAACCCUCGUGAGCUGGAAUUCCCCUUGCUGCGCGUGGGCUUAGCAUGCUCGCCAUUUCCCAUCGCUUCACCUGCUCCAACCUGGUCAUCUGCUCCUCCGUCUGGAUCUUGCUUCAGCAAACACCACCAUCCUCCAGAGACCACUCACCCUGGACCACUGCUGUUACAGCACUACAGCCCUGGUGAGGAUUGCUGAAGUUAACUUGCAGAUGGAGUAAACGUCACUAAAGAUCAAGUCCCUCCACCAGUGUCUUACAUUAGGGAGUACAUGAAAAAUUCAUGAACUCCAUCUCCCUGCUGGACCUCUGGCAUUUUGUCAGCAAUUCAGUGCCUUCAGAGGUAUCACAUGUACCUGCCCUUCUCGCUUCAGGGCGUAGUCAGUCAAGAGGAUAAAAUAAGCGAAGCAAAGGCAGCGAGCAGAUUAAACACAUUUCUUCUGUAAGACAAAAAGGUGUGAAAGCGUGUCUUGUACCCGAGUGUAAAAGCGAUGGAGGUGAAGUUGGGCUAUAAUGCUCUGUGGCAAAUUGAUUAUAUAUGAGCUGCAACGAAGCACCUGUUCAGAGUAUCGAUCGGGAGACAAUUGGGCUCGACUCAGUCCAGGAGCAACUUUGACAGGCACAGAUGUGAGAUACAUCGAGAGCAUUAAGCCUCCCGCCGCACUUCUUCCUCCUCUUCCUCCUCCCCCCCAACACUCUGACAGAAAUGAUCACUUGUGUAGAUUGGUGUUGGAUGCUGCGAGGCAUCAUAUAGACGGACCAAUAAUGAGGAUAUGAUUCCACAGUCCACCACCUGGGCUGGAGUGGUUGGGGAGGAGGGUGUAAAACGGUUGGAAAAGGAAGACGGGGAUAAGAAGAUGAGAGGAGAACUGAAGGAGGAUAUAAUGGCGCUUGUGUGGAGCCACAAUCCCCAGGCUCUGUCUGGACCCAGAGGCAAUAGAGGCAGCAUCUGCUCGAGGCAGAGCAUAAUGCUGAGGAGAUUGAAGAACACUAUUGAUUAAAACCAUCAAUUCAUCCUAGUUUUUUUCAUGUUUUGUUUUUGUUCUCACAGCAGUGGUUGUAACACGUGGAGGAUGGAAGAAAGAAAGCGAGAAAUCAAAACCAUGACAGACGUGUUGCAGCCUCACAACAGCACAUUAACAAAUGGUGGAUAGGAAGACUUAUUUUACAGCCUGAAAAAGUCUAGGCGUGGACUCAGACGUGGACAUUUAAGCUCGUAUUGCUAUCAGAGACAGUUAUAAACACCAGCCGCCACUUUCACUGUGGAGGACCAGGAGGACUUCGCUGGAGGACCGUGAUGCUAAUUAGCCUGUUGCUACUGCUGUGACAAAGGACCCCGCCGCUGAACUUGGAUGGACACACGGACGACACCUGCUGCAUCUCGCCUGCUGCUGCUGCAUCUGCAUCUUCACCGCCGACACUUCAGACCUGCUUUGCAUCUUGGAUUGGACGGCGUGUGGUGACGAAUGACAAGCACCGGAUCCAGUUGACCCGGGAGGUGUGGAUGCUGUCAGCGUGGGAGGGAAGAACGCCGAGACAUUUCAGUGGGACUCUCCAUUCAUGCGCUAACCUCUUCAGCUGCAUUGUUUUAAGGAGAUUCGGUGGAGUGGUGCUUCAUCUAUCUCCCUCUGUCCCUUUUCUCCCCCAAAAUGAAUUCCCUUUGUCCAUCUUCUGCCUCUGUCAUUUUGCUCCGGGCGAAAUGAAUAAAAUUGGGGACACAGGUGAAAGGAUGAGCAGGUAUGAUUAAAGGUAAAGGGAAGUGAUAAUGGGGAAUAAGAGGUGAUACGAAAGGAGAAUAGAUAUGAUCAGUGGCAUCACUCUGGGGACUUACUGCACUUGUUUAUAUGCUGCUUUCUCCAUGAUUUAUUUUUUUGUUUUUUCUGAAAAGGGAAAUUUAUAUUCUUGUUGUUGAAGUGCAUCUAGUGCCAUAAUCCAGUCACAAUAACACUUUGUUCAGUCCUCUGAUUGAUGUUAUGAGUGAAUAUGUGCAAAGGGACAGAUGACUGCCCCUUUAGCUUCAGCUCUUCUCAAUGCUUAGUGAUGAUAAACAGCAUACUAACAUAGCAUUUGGCCCAAAUUAUGCACAUGUGCAUGUUUAGAAUUUUAUUUUGAAGGUGUACUAGAAUAUGUUUGCAUGCUUUAACGUUUACAACACACAUUGUUUGUACUUUAUUUUUCUGCAGCUUCUCUUGAUACCCACCAUCUGAAACAUACGGUUUUAGCACAUUUCUUUCAGGCCCAGUAAACACACGUUGGCAUUGGUUACAUACUUACCACAAUCCUAGAGCUAUAGUAGAGUAUGGAUGUUCCCCCAGCAGAGGCUUGUUUGACGGCAGGCGUUCUACUAUUGUGUUACAUGGUGACGUAACGGGGCAUUUCAGGACAUUUUAGAGGCACAAAAAACUAAAAAGAAUAGCAUUUAUUCCAAAUUGAUGAACAAUAUUGGAAAGGAGUAUUGAACUCCCUCUUAUAGAUCUUUUUUUCUGGUGAAAUGAAAAGAAUGCAAAUAAUUAAAUAAAACUGAGAAUGGGGCACUCAGAAAGCUGACACAGAUGCAUGAAAUACAACCUGUGAUGAGGCGUCAUACAGCAGGUAGACAUCCUUUAAGGGACUUUAAGCCUAAAAAAGGUGUGAAAGAUAGAUAUGAAUUGAAAAAAAGAAGCUAGAUUACAGCAUAAUCCUCCCCACAAGGUGAAAGCAGAGAGGAUGGAAAGCAAAAUUAGCUCCUAGUCCCCUCAGGUCAUAAAAGUAUGACUUGGGUUGUUCCUUUCUGCUGAAGUUACCUGUGACAGAAAUCCAAGACACAGCCACCAAACCAGACGGCAGCGAGACCAAAGUGAUCCGGCGUGUUUAACAUUCCUCAGAUAGCUCUGGGAGUUAUUUGGAGCCUGAACACAAUGAAAGGCUGAUGGGGUUUCACAGGGAGGCAAACUCACUUUCAAUCAGCAUCACAUAACGAAAGUAAACAAUAGCAAUUACAGUAAUUAGUGUUGGUUAAACUUCAGUUUUGCCACACUUGCGUGCUGAAAAUAGAAUAGUUUGACAUCAGGGAGGCUGAGACUCCUCACACAAGGCUGCCAUCUAGAGGUCACAUCCUCCCUGCAUGACUGGAAGAAUCUUAUCUUUUCCUGUGAACAUCUGAUCAAAUGAAUGCAUGUUUAUUUAUAUAUAUAUUUUUAAAAUUCCAUUUGAUGGCCAUUGCCUGCAGUCAAGGAAAGUGACCCUGUAGCACAGAUGUAUGCCAACGUUUGGGCACUGGUGGGAAUAUUUUGAUUAUAUUGAAGCGGAAGGAAAUAAAUACACCCCGGCAGCAUUCAGAAUGAGCCUUUCUCAUGUUAGCGCACUGUUGCUCUUUAUUUCAUUACAACAGAUAGAAGGACAUUAAACAUUAACUGUGGCCUCAGCAGAACGUUGUGCACCCUUCUAAUUGUAACGCCUCAGAAGUUUAUUCACUCAUUCGGGCUGAAAUAGUCGUUAUUAGCAAACUGAUGACACUUUUAAAACUGAUAAAUUCAGAAUUUUUAUCCUUGUGGCUUCUCUCAACAACCACAGGCUCCUCUAGACAACCAUCCCAUCCAGAAAUGAAGCUUCUCAGUGCCCACCAAACAGCUGAAAGCUAUAAACAGACACAAGACAGCUUCUUGCUUCGAGUCUCAGCCGUCUGGAAUGGUAUUAAGAAAUGGCAUUUAGGGGAGAUGUAGAAGUCAAGACAAAACCUGAGAGAUCAAGACUGCAAAGGCGAUGCAGGAAGCUUCAGCAGAAAUAAAAGAGAUGUUUCUUUCUCAUGAAACCUGAUCUGUCACCUCUUCACAAACAUCCUCAUCGACACCUGCAGUCUACAAAGCAACAACUUUGGUAACAAGUGCUGUAUUGGCAUCAAAGGUAUGUUUAGAUGGAAGAGAAAGGAACAGCAGUUGUGGAACUGUGUCCACUGAUUGGAGAAACACUGUGUAGAUGGAGGGAAGAACAGGUUCCACUGCAUAUCAGUAGAUUCUGGAGGCUGGUGUAAUGCAGCCACUUAAGAAAGUGAAAUUGUAAAGAAGUACUUCAAGAAACACAAGCUGAAGCUUCCAGGAAAACUCUCAAGGUGCUUUAACCUGAACAUCACUCGAAAUCUGUGGACAGAUCUAUAAUAUCUCCAAGUAAUUUGCAGAAAGAGGAAGAUUCCUGAAUAAAGAAAUGAUUUACCAAAAAGCAUUCAUGUAAAGGUGGGAUUACAAGAUAUUGACUUUGUGGCGAUGCCCAAACUUUUGCACAUGCCUGUACACCCUUUAUAUGUUUUUUUUUAAUGAAUGAAAUACAAAAUCACG
ensembl:lncRNA